AUGAGGGAAGAUAUACCAUAUAUAUUCACUCCUCAAGGGAAGCUGCAACCUGCAGAACGCAAGAAAGUGUUGUUGUGUGGUUCAUCCUCGCCAUGUCUGGACAUCAAGGAUGAGCACCGGAUCAGCGUCGACGUGUGUGCCCGCAAGGUCGUGGGUUGCGAGGUCUAUGAGCUGGUUGAGCCACCGCGCGAAGACAUCACUUCCCGCUUCGUUCACGCUUGGCCGCUGCCACCGGCUCUCUGCUCAGAGACACGCCACCAUGCGAUGAUUCUUCUUCCACUCGUAGGCCUCCCACUCCAGUAG
rnacentral:rRNA from 1 species